UACAGGGGGGGCAAGCGUUGUUCGGAAUUACUGGGCGUAAAGGGCUCGUAGGUGGCCAACUAAGUCAGACGUGAAAUCCCUCAGCUUAACUGGGGAACUGCGUCUGAUACUGGAUGGCUUGAGUUUGGGAGAGGGAUGCGGAAUUCCAGGUGUAGCGGUGAAAUGCGUAGAUAUCAGGAGGAACACCGACGGCGAAGGCAGCUUACUGGGCCGAUACUGACGCUGAGGAGCGAAAGCGUGGGGAGCGAACAGG
rnacentral:rRNA from 1 species